rnacentral:lncRNA from 1 species
GCGUGAAGGUGGAGGGUGAGAAGGCUAGCACUCCUUGCGCUGGCCUCCGUCACGUUUCUAUCGGCUGUGGGGAAUUGGGAAGAAGAGCUUUGAGCCACUCGCUCUGCCAGGUUCUCCCAACAGGACAAUAAACUCAUCUGGAAGGCAGAGGGCCUGCCCAUUCAUAAACCUGUUGAUGUGGUCCCCAGAGGUGAGUUUCUCUGAACAGAGAGCAAGAAGGGUAGAGAGUUGAUCCAGAAGAAAAGUGAAAGCUAGCCAACACAACCAGAAAGCCAAAAAAAAAAAGAGAGAGAGAGGGAAAUAAUAGGCAUAAUUCUAUUAUGCAUCCAGAAGAGAAUUUUUAAAAGAGUUGCCUUUGUGAAAUUAAUUGAAAACAGCAAGACGCAGGGUUGGGAACUGCUUUUAUUACAUUCUUUUAUAAUAUAAACUUUGUAGAACUCUUUGGCUCUUUUAACUAGGUACAACUUGCACAAAAAUAAUUUUUAAGUGCUCUUUGGAUUUGCAGUGAGAAAAUCGUGGGUAACCUUUUGCCAGGCAAUUUCAGCUCAGCAAUGGGAGCCGAGGUCAGAUUACAGUGCGUUGAGAAUCUGAGAUGGGUGAGAGAGGAAUUCUAAAGGCAGCCAAAUCUUGUUAAUCAAAUAUUUUGUUAAUGUCUUUAAUAGCUAGUCUACUAGCCUAGCUAGGUCAGAGGUGUGCUGCCUGUGAUUUGUGUUGUGCUCUCUGCACACUAUACCUGGGGCCCACACGUGUAAUCCAUGUGUCCAGUAUAUUCAUGUGCAGUUUUAAGAUUCAGAACUUUUUCGUGGGCUUUUAAAUAUUAAAAUGGUUUCCGGCUAUUAUUGCUUAACUUGUCCCCAAAAUACAAUUUUGCCUUUGACACCCAUUCCUCUUACUGUAUUUUCUUCAUAUACUUUCUCAACUCAAAGUUUGGACCAUCUUUGACCUCCUCUUUCACUUCUAACAUGUCCUUGCCAAAUGCUAUACAUUCUACCCAUGAAAUGUUUUUUGUUCCUCUUCUCUGCCCUGGCUGGCCCUCACGGUUUAAGCCAAUAGGAUUUGUUGAUAUCACUAUGGGACUAACUACCUCUCUAUGCCUCUAAACUCCCAUCUCCAGUGGAGUUAUUAGCUAAUAACUCUUGUUAACUAAUGGACUUCAUGAUCUUAUUAGAAACUGCUUUUCCAGGAGUUCCUAUUGUGGCUCAGUGGUAAUGAAACUGACUCGUAUCCAUGAGGACUCAGGUUCAAUCCCUGGCCUCACUCAGUGGGUUGAGGAUCCAGCGCAGCCGUGAGCUAUGGUGUAGGUCACAAGUGCGGCUCGGAUCUGGUGUGGCUGUGGCUGUGGUGUCAGCUGGCAGCUGCAGCUCCAAUUCAACCCCUAGGCUGGGAAUCUUCGUAUGCUGCAGGUGUGCCCCUAAAAAGCAAAAAAAAAAAAAAAAAAAAAAAAAAAA